rnacentral:rRNA from 1 species
GUCGAGCGGCGGACGGGUGAGUAAUGCCUAGGAAAUUGCCCUGAUGUGGGGGAUAACCAUUGGAAACGAUGGCUAAUACCGCAUGAUGCCUACGGGCCAAAGAGGGGGACCUUCGGGCCUCUCGCGUCAGGAUAUGCCUAGGUGGGAUUAGCUAGUUGGUGAGGUAAGGGCUCACCAAGGCGACGAUCCCUAGCUGGUCUGAGAGGAUGAUCAGCCACACUGGAACUGAGACACGUCCAGACUCCUACGGGAGGCAGCAGUGGGGAAUAUUGCACAAUGGGCGCAAGCCUGAUGCAGCCAUGCCGCGUGUGUGAAGAAGGCCUUCGGGUUGUAAAGCACUUUCAGUCGUGAGGAAGGUGGUGUAGUUAAUAGCUGCAUUAUUUGACGUUAGCGACAGAAGAAGCACCGGCUAACUCCGUGCCAGCAGCCGCGGUAAUACGGAGGGUGCGAGCGUUAAUCGGAAUUACUGGGCGUAAAGCGCAUGCAGGUGGUUUGUUAAGUCAGAUGUGAAAGCCCGGGGCUCAACCUCGGAAUAGCAUUUGAAACUGGCAGACUAGAGUACUGUAGAGGGGGGUAGAAUUUCAGGUGUAGCGGUGAAAUGCGUAGAGAUCUGAAGGAAUACCGGUGGCGAAGGCGGCCCCCUGGACAGAUACUGACACUCAGAUGCGAAAGCGUGGGGAGCAAACAGGAUUAGAUACCCUGGUAGUCCACGCCGUAAACGAUGUCUACUUGGAGGUUGUGGCCUUGAGCCGUGGCUUUCGGAGCUAACGCGUUAAGUAGACCGCCUGGGGAGUACGGUCGCAAGAUUAAAACUCAAAUGAAUUGACGGGGGCCCGCACAAGCGGUGGAGCAUGUGGUUUAAUUCGAUGCAACGCGAAGAACCUUACCUACUCUUGACAUCCAGAGAACUUUCCAGAGAUGGAUUGGUGCCUUCGGGAACUCUGAGACAGGUGCUGCAUGGCUGUCGUCAGCUCGUGUUGUGAAAUGUUGGGUUAAGUCCCGCAACGAGCGCAACCCUUAUCCUUGUUUGCCAGCGAGUAAUGUCGGGAACUCCAGGGAGACUGCCGGUGAUAAACCGGAGGAAGGUGGGGACGACGUCAAGUCAUCAUGGCCCUUACGAGUAGGGCUACACACGUGCUACAAUGGCGCAUACAGAGGGCGGCCAACUUGCGAAAGUGAGCGAAUCCCAAAAAGUGCGUCGUAGUCCGGAUUGGAGUCUGCAACUCGACUCCAUGAAGUCGGAAUCGCUAGUAAUCGUGGAUCAGAAUGCCACGGUGAAUACGUUCCCGGGCCUUGUACACACCGCCCGUCACACCAUGGGAGUGGGCUGCAAAAGAAGUAGGUAGUUUAACCUUCGGGGGGACG